rnacentral:rRNA from 1 species
GCCUGUGAAAUGAAUCUAAGUUCUUCCUUAAUUCCUCUCUACGGAUAUCCACCAAGCCUUCAUGUAGAAAAUUAAGAGCAAUUUAAAGGAGGUACAGCUCCUUUAAAAAAGAAUACAAUCUUCCCUAGCGGAUAACUUUCAUCAACCCCCGCCUAUGAAUUGUGGGCCUUCAAGCAGCCACCAACAAAGAGUGCGUCAAAGCUCUACACCCAAAGAUAUAAAAACAGUAUGACUCCCUUAUCUUUAACAGGCUAACCUAUGACAAUAGGAGAGUUAAUGCUAAAAUGAGUAACUUGGGGCCUCCCCUCUCAAGCGCAAGCUUACAUUUCUACAUUAUUAACAGACCCUUCACUAAUACUACAAUUUUAACAAGAUCAGAUAUUACCACCCCUGUUAACCCAACCCAGGAGCGCUCACUAGAAAGAUUAAAAUCUGCAAAAGGAACUAGGCAAACCCAGGGCCCGACUGUUUACCAAAAACAUAGCCUUCAGCCAUCCAAGUAUUGAAGGUGAUGCCUGCCCAGUGACACUGUGUUUAACGGCCGCGGUAUCCUA